UACGUAGGUGCAAGCGUUGUCCGGAAUUAUUGGGCGUAAAGAGCUCGUAGGCGGUUGUCGCGUCUGCCGUGAAGUCCGGGCUCAACUCCGGAUCUGCGGUGGUACGGCAGACUAGAGUGAUGUAGGGAGACUGGAAUUCCUGGUGUAGCGGUGAAAUGCGUAGAUAUCGAGAGGAACACCUGCGGCGAAGGCGGUUGCUGGCUGACACUGACGCUGAUGCGCGAAAGCUAGGGAGCGAACGGG
rnacentral:rRNA from 1 species